AUUUCAUUAAUAUGUACCAUAUGUAAUGAGCAGAUAUUGGCCCAGUCUUGUUGCUAGGUGCAUACUCCAGCACAAUAACAUAUUUAAAGUGAAGAGCACACCCACAGGACUUCAAAAUAAAUUUUUUUUACAGUUGUGCCCUACAUACAUUCACCAUUUCAGUCCCAUUAACAAGCUUUCCUUAAUAUGUCAAGGUAGUUGGACUGAAACAUUGAUUACAUGCAAAGGCACGUCUGCUUAAAAUAAAUCUGCACUUUUGUUUAUUUUGAAGCCUAUGAGUGCGCUUUUUACGUU